GCGGCGCCGUAGCGCGUGGCGUUGCGCUGCAGCAGCCACAUGAUCCCUAUCAGCUCGCAGUCCCGCUCGCUGGACGCGCCGUCGCCAUGCUUCCCCGCCGCCGCUCCGGCCUUUAUCUGCAAACGUCGACCAAAACUCAGUGUUGAGGGCGGGUCAGUGUCUCGGUGACUCCACUGUGACUAUUUGCCAACCAACAGAGUCUUUUGUUUUCAGUCCGUGUGCUGUUUGGAAAGGGAGAAGUGCAGGGCUACACUAAUACGGAGUAGUAGGUUACAAAACAACACCUCCAUCAUGUACGUAAUCACCAAGCCUGUAAGGACAUCUCCAAUGGUGAUUGAUAUUAAAAUUCUUCUCUUCUUUUUUUAAUAUCAUUUGUUUCUUGGUUGAGGAUGCUCUAAAGCGAAUUAAACAGGACGGAGACAAAGGGCAAGACUCCAGAGAAUAGAACAUUGAACGCGUCACCGAAGAAAGAUAAAUGAAGGGAACGUACACAGGACACGCGCAGGGCGUCGAAACCAUCAAGCCUCAUCAGUAAACAAGUGCGCGUCGAAUCCAUUGUUUCACGCGCCGCGCGGCGCCUGGGGUAAGCGACACCAGCCUUGGUGCGUGCCUUCGUUGAUGUUCUUCACCGUGCGUGCGUGAGCGGGCGGGGAUGGGAUCACGGGCGCGGGUUCCCGGCGUUCAAAGCCACACGUACGAUCAAGAUGAUGGGUGGAUAAGUGGAUUGUUUUUGCGCGUUUGGCACUUGGCAGGCUGCAUAUUCCGCCUGUUUGAUUGAAACGCAUGUCGUCCCUACUUGGAUCUGCGGAAUAUAUGCUUAAAGCAUAUGUCGGCCUAAACUGGAGACAAGAGGGACGAACCGGGCUAGUAAGCUCAAGAACGCAAUGGCGAGUCUGGUCCAGAAUGGCGGAGCGGGGCUCGCCGCGCGUGCGGUUGAAGAACGGUGGGGGUUGGGAAUAGUCUGGUUUGUACCCGGGUUGUAAACUUGCCAGUUGAGCACUGUGCACCGACUAGAUCACACAGAGGAUGGCCGUGGUGGAAUCAUUAGCGCGCGCUGAUGAGUAUGACCGUUUAGAAAUACUUCUUCCGUUUCGUAA